GCCCAUUCACAAAUUUCAGACUAGUAGCCUGUUAGGAGAAGCGUGGUGUAAGCACAUAGAGUCACGUGGUGUUUUCUAAGUGUCUCACGUUAAAUUACAGGCGACUUCAGGAGUGCAGCUCAAGAGACAGCAGUAUACUCUGGUCCUUGUUGUAGCUGACCUAAAAAUUUCAAACGUAUGCUCCUCAUUUAUGGUGUCAUAUUUCUUACAAAUUUGAAAAUACUUAUAGCAUCUUUGUCCUGUAAUGCUAUUUAGGCAAAAAAACACAGUUAUUUUAGGUUUGACUUAACAGAAACCGAAGCUUUUAUAGAGCAUUGUUCUCUAAUAAUUUUGUACUUGCUUUGUUCCUGAAACCUGAAUGCUUUUGGUACAUUCAGACUUGAGACUAUGCUGAACCAGCUACAUAAAAGGCCACACUGGGCAAGAUCAUGUGUGCUGCCAACACAAAAUAUCUCUGACCCAAUUAGGUAUAGCUUCUGUAACAUUGGCCAUUUUUUUUAACUCACUGUUAAGCUGUUUGAUUAAAGGAAAUCAAUACACCAAUAACAGAUUUGAAUAACCUUAAUAAUUUUUAUAUUCCAAAUGUAUAAAACAGUAAUCUCAUAGGUACAGUUAUAUGAUCCACACAGUGGUAUUUAUUAAACAGGAUGGUGUCACUAAUUGUAAACUAAGGUUUGGUGUAUUAACUGAGCCAGAGAAAAGCUCAGUUACUCACAAAAGUGUAUGUAGUUGCCAUGGGGCUGGAUACCUUGCUGUGUAUUAGGCCUUGGAGUCACCGUCCUCUAAUAAUAAAUUGUUACAUAAUUGGUGCUGGCUUAGCAACUUUUAAAAAAUGCAUAUAGAAAAAAAUGUCUUGUUUUUUAUCCCCCCAAUUUGGUGUGCAACUCACAGAGUGCUUCACUGGUUUCAUACUCCAGCAUGAAGACAAACAAAUCAAACCACAGCAAACCAAAGGAAACUCCUAAUUAUAUGGGGUUAACAAUGGGGUUAACAAUAGUUCCAGGCCAGAGAGUUUAGCAAUGAGAAAAAUCACAAGUAUCUUCAGACUGCUUAGAAUAAAAUUUCUCAAAAGUAUGUACAUAAAACACAAAUUUCUGUUACCUAAGUCAAAUAUUUUUAUGUUUAUAUAUAAUC
rnacentral:lncRNA from 1 species